AUCCUCCAAUUUUCGCCGUCAUUCACGGAAAGGAAUGAGAUAGCGGCUGCGUCGGCGCCGAAUUCCUUGCCGGCGUAACCGCGCCGGCAAUUCGCGAUGCUCGACGGCGAUGUCGCGUCCGGCGUCGAUCUAUCCUGCUGUGCUCGUUGAGGAUGUGGUGCCGCCGUCCUUGAAGGCGGACGUCUUGGCCAUGGUGAUGGGGGCUGCGUGGGCCGUCGCCAUUGAUGGUAGGCUCCGCGCGCUACGGUGACAGCGGGCCGGGAGACGGCGUCCGCGCGGAAGACGGAGGCUGAGCGGUUUCUGUGUGCUGGAGUUUGCUCCGGCGGCGUGGAGAGGAGCUCCAGCCGGCGCAUCGCAAAGGGAUGGAGGCCCCCUUCUCCCAACCAGUCACCGAUUAUAUGUGGUUUGGUCGAUGAGGAUGGCGUGAAAGAUGGCUGCUCCACUCCGGGUAUGUUUGAUGCGAGCAUACAAAACCUUUGCCGUUGCGUCCCAACCUCUACUGUAUAUAUGUAGGUUUUCUAUUUCGCUGAACCUUACAUGUCUGCAAUUGGUUGACAAAGAGCACAAUUCUGUAUAUUUCCUAAUGCAAAUAACUAAAAGAAGGAAUGGAUAAAAUGUUGCCUGGCGAUCGGCGGUGGAGGGCCAACGGGAGCGGGAACGAAGUUCACAAGCGGUGGUGCCAUGACCCUCUUCGAGCCAGGACGGCCCAUCCUGGGUCCCAUCGGCAUGAGUGCGAAGACCCGAUUUCUCUUCUAACACGACUCAUGGUUCAGAACGCAAGGACGUAUAUUGACUUAUCUAACUAUUUUCAUUUUCAUUGGCGCCAAGUAAACCAUGGUGAUAGGAAAAAGGAAGUGAUUGAAAGAAGGAGAUUGAUCAACGUUUGAUUGAAAGAAGGAAGGAGAUUUAUCACCGUCAUGAAUGAAUUGAUUGCCAUGCA